ACGUCGAUAGACGCCUUGAUGCAGUGCCUACACAGAUAGUCUUGUUUUUAUUGAACAACACUUAUGUUCUUUAACAAUUUGGAAAGCUGAUAUUAAUAGUAAUCAAUCAAAAUUGAGUAACUGAGAAAUCGAAAGAUGACUUUUUACUCUACUUGACUGAAUUGCUUGUUAUCAAUCGAUGAUUUGAUAGCAAGGCAAUUCUUCCGAUUAGCUUGUCAUUCAUGCGACAUAACUUAGACAGAAGUCAAAAGGCUGUUUGGGGUUGUAUGGUUAAGUGACGAAGCGUAUACGGUGGAUGCCUUGGC
rnacentral:misc_RNA from 1 species